rnacentral:lncRNA from 1 species
CACAAUCCUAGCCGGCCCAGAGAUACAAACUACAAGGCCCAACAUCCCAAAUACCCUUCAUCUUUUUAUUUUUAUUUUCUUUCUUAAUUACCGAAACUCGCAUGAGACCUGUAUCUUAUGUUUUGCAGGGAAUCAAGGUAGGGCGGGCGCCCGACCUCGCCCUACCAGGAGCUCUGCCCAUGAAAAUGCUUUCAUUAAGAUGAGAAAACCAAAUACAUCACACAGGGAACCA